UCUCGUCUACGUGCUUCAUCGUUCUCGUUGGUAAUGGCUUCUUGGAAGAAAACCAUAAUUUCUCCUAUUAGAAAGGCUUGCACCAUCUUCAACCAACACCCGAGAGACUCGAAGAAGUCCCACUCCGACUCCGACUCAGAGCAAGAGAAGCGAGUAGACGUGAGAGACCUACAAGGAGAGGUGAUGGCAUGUGGGUAUGAAGACGUGCAAGUUAUGUGGUCUAUUUUAGACAAGACUAACUCUACUACAGCCGCCGCCACCACCAACUCCACCGUCUAUAAUAUGUCUUCUUAAUCAUCGUCGUGGUGGUCGCCGUUGUCACGGCCGUGGCCAAAAGAUUGUAGAUAACUCUUUUUCUCUAUUUCUCGGUGAGUUAUGAUUUCGUUAUGUUUAUAGGGAAGGAAUGAAUCCCCAUGAUUUGAAGAAGCUCUUAAUCAUGGUGAGACUUAUUACUCUUAGUUAAUGUAAAAAUUAAAUCUCUUUCCUAGUGGGAAAUGGAACCUCAUCUUUCUCACCCGUAUUUUGAUUUAGAGAGAGAUUUUUUAAA